ensembl:snRNA U1 U1 spliceosomal RNA
AUACUUACCUGGCAGAGGAGAUACCAUGAUCUCAAAGGUGGUUUUCCCAGGGCAAGGCUCAUCCAUUGCACUCCAAAUGUGCUGAUCCCUGCAAUUUCCUCAAAUGUAGGAAACCCAACUGCAUAAUGUGUAGCAGUGGGAGACUGUGUUCACGCUUUCCUCUG